GCGUCUGUAGCCUAGUUGGUAAAGGCAUCACUCUAGUAAUGCUGAGGUCAUGGGUUCGACUCCCAUCAGACACA
rnacentral:tRNA from 1 species